UACGAAGGGGGCUAGCGUUGCUCGGAAUCACUGGGCGUAAAGGGUGCGUAGGCGGGUUUUUAAGUCAGGGGUGAGAUCCUGGAGCUCAACUCCAGAACUGCCUUUGAUACUGAAGAUCUUGAGUUCGGGAGAGGUGAGUGGAACUGCGAGUGUAGAGGUGAAAUUCGUAGAUAUUCGCAAGAACACCAGUGGCGAAGGCGGCUCACUGGCCCGAUACUGACGCUGAGGCACGAAAGCGUGGGGAGCAAACAGG
rnacentral:rRNA from 1 species